rnacentral:lncRNA from 1 species
UGGUUCGGUUGAACCCCGUCGAUCUCUAUCCCUCUCUUACUCUCUCUCGUGUUCCUCUUCACUACCACUUCUAAUUCUAGAAGCUUCCUCUACUUCUUCCAUCUCAAUUCCUCUUCUAUUUUUCUGAGAUUGUAUUUGAAUUUGAUUGUUCUUGAGAUUACUGAAUUGGAAGAAGAGGCUGUUAACAAUCUGGUAUCAGAGCCGUUCGGUUCACUGGGAUUUUUGUCAUGGAGGUGUUGGGGAGGCAGCAUGAGCCAUGCAAGAUGGAGCAAGAAUUGAGUUGGGAAGGUUUUCAUCCAAGCAUCGCCCACCAACUGCUCGAUGGAAUGCCAAGCCAACCUGGGAUGUCCAAGGAAGAUCAGAGGAUAUCUGAGCCCGUUCUCAUCAAUACCACCAUGAAUAAAGAGGAGAAAUGGCUAGAUGAAGCUUUGGAUCGGAUAUUGGAGAAGUUUGAACAAAUGGAGGCCAAGCGCCGGCAAGAGGACAAGCUCAAUCAAAAUUUUCAGAAGUUGGAGGAGAUAGAGGCUCGUAGGAGCAAGGCUUCCGAGGAGACGAUUGCUGCCAUCAGGGCAACCACCGCCAUUCUCAAGGCUGCAUCAUCUUCGACACCUAUGGCACCACCUCCUCCAGCGCCCACCAACUGUUUGAUGGAAUGCCACAACAACAACUUCACUUGGGUGGCAGUGAAUUCAAGUCACAUCCGCGAGGUACCUGCCCCGAUGGUUGCCUUCGAGCUUGGGGACGUCGAGGACAAGGAUCCUGUCCCCUACAUUGCCGCCAAGGACCUUCCCAAGGUCACGCCCACCAAGUGUUCGACGAUAUGUUCCAGCUCCGACACCAAGCCCGAUCACAUUGUGGCUACUGUGGUUACUUGCGCCACCCUUGUCGUGUCAUCAAUGGAGUUGGUAGCUAUUGACGGCACCACUGGCAACACCAACAUUGACACCCCUGAUAGUACCAAGGCGAUGCCCGCCAACUGUUCGACAGUUGGCCUUGAUGUCAAGGGUGGUGCAGACCACGCCAGGGUCACAUGCCAGAUCAUGAUGGGUGUUCCUGAGGGUAUUGUAUUACCUGAUGCAUCAUCCGAAGUCUUGUCGCCAUGGUUGAUCGCUGAAAUGGACCUUGCCAAGCUGAUGCCCACUGAGUGUUUGAUGAAAUGCCUCAAAGCUAUCAAGAAGUUGCUGGUGGGGCAUCCCAAGAGAGAUCCUUGGCCACCUCCCUGGUCAGGUGGUGUGGUUAGAGGAGGGGAGGUGUGGCACAUCCCAUGGUUUGAUGCCACCAUGGCCACCUCCAACCUGUGA